AAGGCACUUGCUUGUUAUUGAAAACACAUAAGCCCCAUGUUUAACUAAUUGUCGGGUCAUAGCACUCUUAUUCCGUUGGACCUCAAAACCGAGCAAGCUAGCCAAUCGACGUCUACUAGAAGAAAGAAAGGCAACGCAAGCAAAAGUCCAAAGCGUUUUAGUCUUUCAUAUCUUUGGAUCGGCAAAUGGCGAUCAUACUUGCGGACUCCUUUACAAACCAAACUCUCCCAUUGCCCUGUAACAUGUGCAGCCAGCUAGCAUAAGUUUCCUG
rnacentral:misc_RNA from 1 species